CCCUUAGAUGAUUUGGGCUGCACGCGCGCUACACUGACCCUAACAAUGAGCAACUGUCUGGCCUGAGAUGGCUGGGUAGCCUUUUCAACCCAUGUCAUGAUUGGGCUAGAUUUUUGUAAGUCUUGAUCUCUAACGAGGAAUCCCUAGUAUGCGUGAAUCAUCAAUCCAUGCAGAUUAUGUCCCUGCCCUUUGUACACACCGCCCGUCGCUCCUACUGAUUGGGUGAUCCGGUGAGCUGUUCGGCCAUAGCAAUGUUUCUUGAGCAGGGCAAUAAAUGUUUCGCAAACCUUGCCACUUAGAGGAAGGAGAAGUCGUAACA
rnacentral:rRNA from 1 species